ensembl:antisense Gm14661 predicted gene 14661
UGCUGAGAUUACAGCUGCAUGCCACUGUCUUCACUAAGGCAACUUUUUACUACACCAAUUUCAGAUGACUGCUGUGUCUUCUGCACAAAUGUGAAGCUCUUUUAUACUGCGAUACCAGGAUCAUGCUACAACAAUCUUUCAGUUUCAGGAAAAACAGCUACAAGAAGAGGUCUUGGGCUUCAAGGCCUGCCUGGUGCCUAAGGAGGUCUAAAGAGAACACCAGACUCCCCUGAAACUGCAUAAUAAUAAGCCACGUUUCAGCGUUCAAGAUUAUAGGUUGUAUUGUGUGAUUACUCCUUGUAUUAAUAAGAGAAGGAAGACAGGCUGAUCAAGCACCAGCUCUGUGUUUGUAUCAGAUUAAUUAUGAAAGCACAUGUACAUCAUAUAACAGAAUCAAGAAAUCCUACAAAAAAUCACAUGCAAUGUUCAUUCAUGCAUACGCGUGCAGACUCAGAAGAGAUGCCGUAAGACAUUCUAAUGAGUGACCAAGCUCAUUGAAAAUGGUAAGGAGAGCCUUUCCCACUCACCUGGAACCAAACGCUUCCCUCUGUCGUAUCUUAUCUAGGAACAAGGAAAUGCCACUAACUACAGGUCUGAUACUCUAUUAUGCUUGCAGACAGGAGCCUACCAUGGCUGUCCUCUGUGAGCCCAGCAGUCCAUGGAAAGAGAUGCAGAGACAUACACACAAAGUAGGGUUUUAGUGAACAGUACCCACAAAAAGGAAGAGAAGAAAGCCCCUACUGGAAGGUACUAGAAGAUCCAACACACAGGUCUCCAUCUACUGCAUAGUUUCUCUGGAAAACUCAGCAAGUGUUGUGUGUGAUAACCUUCUGGAUGGAAGAAGCCAGAUUGAUACAUUUCUACUAUAUGAAGGAAAGAGACACAGCACCCAUGUGAAUACACUACUCAGAGGGAACAUUCAUUUCCAAGCAGAGGAAGACUGAAUUUUGGGACUCUCCUGCAAUCAAUUGCAAGUGCACUUUCUGCUCUUCUGUUCUCAGUCACUCAGCUCCAGGUACACAGGAUCUAACAGGUUAAUUGCAGUUGGAGGUCCCACCCUCUGUGGAUACCAGCAUUCCAUGGCUGAAAUCCUGGGCUGUGCAAUAAGAUAAAAUCUAAAGAAAAUUUCUAGACUGGAGAGUCUUUAAGCUGAUGGCAAGCAACCAGCUGGAAUUACCGAAGAGAUGAGCACCACUGGAAAGAGACUGCAUACACUGAACUAGGACAGCAGGAAUGGUGUCCUCAGGAUAAAACAGAACCCAGUGGGGGCUCCAUCCUGUGAAGAUACAAAGUGGCUUAUAAGAAGACAGCUUAAACUGAAGGGAGUUCCCUGUUCCUCAAAAUCAAGUACCUAGGAAAAUGUUUUGCCAAAGUCAGCACGCAGAAGCUGAUAGAACUGUGGGUGAGAUGCAAGUACAUCUUGACCUGGCAGUGGAUCUUGAAAGUAUGGCUUACAUGGUACUGGUAUUGGGAGCAUGAAAAAUGCAAGGUUGAAGGGGUCCAGGAAUCUUCCUCUAUGGUUCCAGAGAGAUGAUAUGUCAGGCAGUAUGGGACAAUAUUGGAAUUCCUGUCAAGAGGUUCUGAAAAGUCAUUUCAUGAAGCUAUAGACAUGAAGCCUCAGUUAAAUGGAGACCAUGGGGGUUCCAGGACCAUGGCUUGUCCACCAAAGAAAACUUCAAGAAUGGAAUAGAGCCAUCCCAAAGCCAAGAGAGAAUGUGUGUUGCAGACAGCCAAGAUGGAGAGAUGGGGAUACCUAAGGCUUUUGGUGUCCAUUUGAUUAUAUCACAAGUCUUAGUUGACCAACAUGAAGGUGAAAGGAUUUGUGUUCACCACAAAGGAUGUUGGUUUUGGGUUGGUCCAAUUAUUCCUUGCUAUACCACAAUUGUUAUAUAUUGGAAUGGGAGUGUUUAUUCUGUAUCAUCGUAUGCUGGACUAUGCAACUUGUUUUUUGUUUUUGUUUUUGUUUUUAAUUUAUAAACACUCACAGUUAA